ensembl:lncRNA
CUCUGCUUUUGUCUCCUCCUGUUAAACCAAUAAUACAACCACCUCAUCAGUCUCUGUCAGGUGAAGUUCAUCUAUCAAGCUGUGAAGCAAUAGCUCAUCAAAUUUGCAGACGCCUUCUAAACAUCUAAAGUUAAAUCAGAUUCUCGUCUAGCGGCAACAACCACACAUGGGUUUGGAUUUGGUUCUGAUGUGUUUACUUUCUCCAGCCGUUUGAAAAGAGCACAUUUGGUCCUCUGGCAGUGAUUAAUAGCACCCAUUCACUUUCGUUCUGUAGUAAAGAGCAGCUUGGACUUCAUGCAAAAUAUAUGAUGGAUGCAAUCGAACACCACAAGGACAAACAGAGUCAGAGAGAGAAUUCGACAGAACCUUGACUCCGGACCCCUGGGAUGCCCUCCUGCUGAAGAUGUGAGACUGUGAGGUUAUUUUAAGCAGCACAUUGGACCUCAUUCUGAAUGCAAAGAGAGCCUAGGGGUAAAGAGACGAGGUGAGAGGACAAUGCCAGCGGUUGAGUAGAAUAACAUUUCAGAAGGGAGUUUAAAAGCAGCUUUUUCCAGCUCAAUUUGCCACUGCAGGCCCAUUGACCAGAAUCAUUUCCAACCUUUUUGACAUUCACAGUUAAACAGCCUGUUUUUGUUACUAUGGAAGCUUGUUUCAGCCAAGGAAUAAUAAAAAAAGGGAAGUGCAAAUUUAUAUGCAGAUUUAAACAUUUAUUCUGUGACGGAAACAGAAAAACAGAAAAAGGUCAGAACUGUGGGAUGUGAACUCAGAAUUCUGAGGAAAAAACUAUUAACUUUCAAUUCUGCAGAAGAAAGGUCAGAAUUGUGAGAUAUAAACCCGCAAUAGCAAGAAAAAAAAGGAACAUAAGUUGCUAUUACCUUUUUUAUAUUUUUUUAUUGUGGGGAAACAGAAAAACAGAAUUCUUAGGGGGAAAAGAUAUAACCUACAGUCCUGAAAUGAAAUGUCCAAAUUGUGAGAAAAGUUGCAAUUACCAUUUAAACUGUUUUAUUCAGUACAACUGAGAG